rnacentral:rRNA from 1 species
GCCAGCAGCCAUAUCACCCUGCGACUCACAACUGGCAACCCACUGAAGCUAAGCAGGUGUGAGCCUGGUCAGUACCUGGAUCGGAGAGCUCCUGGGAAAAAAACUAAGGUUGCUGCUGGAA